rnacentral:rRNA from 1 species
GACGAACGCUGGCGGGAUGCUUUACACAUGCAAGUCGAACGAGUGGCGGACGGGUGAGUAAUGUAUCGGAACGUGCCCAGUAGUGGGGGAUAACUACGCGAAAGCGUGGCUAAUACCGCAUACUAUUGGAGCGGCCGAUAUUAGAUUAGCUAGUUGGUGGGGUAACGGCCUACCAAGGCCGUGAUCUAUAGCUGGUUUGAGAGGACGACCAGCCACACUGGGACUGAGACACGGCCCAGACUCCUACGGGAGGCAGCAGUGGGGAAUUUUCGACAAUGGGGGGAACCCUGAUCGAGCCAUCCCGCGUGUGGGACGAAGGCCUUCGGGUUGUAAACCACUUUUCUCAACGAAGCGGUAGUUGAGGAAUAAGCACCGGCUAACUAUGUGCCAGCAGCCGCGGUAAUUC